rnacentral:lncRNA from 1 species
GGAGCUAACUAGCUAAUCCUCUAUCAGUAUUCUAAUUAAGUAUAUACAACAAGAGACAGCAAAAUGGUAAAGUGUUGCAACAUGCAACAAAAUCUAGCUAGCUAGUCUUGUUUUCCUUGUAUUAAUUUAUUAUAUGCUUUAUAUUGUUUUUAUUUUUAUUUUGUAACAGCUUUAAUUUGAUUGAUGACUCUGUUAAUCAAUCUUCAGGUAGUCAUGAAGACUUUGAUUGUUGUUAUUUUUGCCUCUAUGUUGAUCCUUGGAACUAUUCAUGAAUCCCAUGCACAAAUUCUUCCAGUAAACAGUCGUCGGUUUCUUAGCAGUGGAGGUCCUGAUCGAGUUGUCCCUGGCGGCCCAAAUGCAUGUGGUAAAGAUUGUCAUCAUCCUAGUACAUACAGUGGAAAGACUCCUCCUGGUGAAGUGGAUCUUGCAGAAUAUUACAACCCACCGGGAUACUAAACUUGUGGGCUCUAUAUAUAUAUAUAUAUAUGCGUGUGUAUAUAUUGUGUGUUUGAUUGGAAAUAAGGGGACCAACAUGCAUGUGGGGCCCAUGGAAGUUUCACCGGGUUUGAAGUAGGAUGAGCUUGUUUAAUAACGUGUCUUGUCUGUGUAUAACAGCAAAAUCUUGUGCUUUAAUUUACCUUAAUUUUUAUGGCCAAUGGAAGUUUAUUACAUGUACUUGUUUGAGUUCAACCAAUAAGCUUACAAGCUGAGAUGUGGGAAGAAAUAGUGUAAAUAAAGUUUGAUUGAUUU